rnacentral:misc_RNA from 1 species
GGUAGCUAAUUACGCCAAGCGAAUAGAAGUUUGGAAAAGAGACGCAUGAAGGUAUGGUUCAAAAUCAAUUAACUUUUCAACAAAAUGAAAAUAUCAAAUUUCAGAACUAAUAAUCCUGUAAUUCAGUUUAGAUGCAGGAUCCAAAUGAGUGUACAUGAAAGUAUGAAUCUUCUACUUUAGUUUAGACAUUUCAUGUCAAACUAGUUUUGAAAAAUGGGUUGAUUCAAUGGAAAAAAUCAUGAACAAAAUUUUCAUUUAUAAAACGGAUCAGAGGUCCCCACUAUGGCCUGGAUUAAAUGCUGAUAGAAGAAAGAAAAUAAAAACACAAGUUCAAGCAUUGUCAAAAAAAAAGAAAAAAACAAGCAUAAUUGUGACAAAAAAUCUUCAUUCACCUGAUUAACUUGAAAAUCAGUA